CAAUAGCGUAUAUUAAAGUUGUUGCAGUUAAAAAGCUCGUAGUUGGAUUUGUGGCGUACGGUGUGUUCCGGGCACUUGUUGUCUGAGUAACCUGCUGUUGCCAUCCUUGGGUGGAACCUGUGUGGCAUUAGGUUGUCGUGCAGGGGAUGCCCAUCAUUUACUGUGAAAAAAUUAGAGUGUUCAAAGCAGGCUUAUGCCGUUGAAUAUAUUAGCAUGGAAUAAUGAGAUAGGACUUUUUUGCUAUUUUGUUGGUUUGCGCAAGAAGGUAACGAUUAAUAGGGACAGUUGGGGGUAUUCGUAUUCCAUUGUCAGAGGUGAAAUUCUUGGAUUUUUGGAAGACGAACUACUGCGAAAGCAUUUACCAAGGAUGUUUUCAUUAA
rnacentral:rRNA from 1 species